GUCCAGAGAUGGGAAUCGAACCCACAGUGUUCCGCUUACUGGGCAGAUGCCAUGUCCACUAGGCUACCCUGGA